rnacentral:rRNA from 1 species
GACGAACGCUGGCGGCGUGCUUAACACAUGCAAGUCGAGCGGUAAGGCCCUUUCGGGGGUACACGAGCGGCGAACGGGUGAGUAACACGUGGGUGACCUGCCCUCAGCUCUGGGAUAAGCCUGGGGAAACCGGGUCUAAUACCGGAUAUGACUCCAUGACGCAUGUUGUGGGGUGAAAGCCUUGUGCGGCUGAGGAUGGGCCCGCGGCCUAUCAGCUUGUUGGUGGGGUGAUGGCCUACCAAGGCGACGACGGGUAGCCGGCCUGAGAGGGCGACCGGCCACACUGGGGACUGAGACACGGCCCAGACUCCUACGGGAGGCAGCAGUGGGGAAUCUUGCGCAAUGGGCGAAAGCCUGACGCAAGCGACGCCGCGUGAGGGAUGACGGCCU